AGUUCGUGGAUUGAUUUGUCUGGUUGAUUCCGUUAACGAGCGAGAUCUUAACCUGCUAACUAGGUCACCGAAGAGACUUUCGGUAUGACCUUCUUAGAGGGACUUUGCGUGUUUAACGCAAGGAAGUUUGAGGCAAUAACAGGU
rnacentral:rRNA from 1 species